UCAUUAAGGCGUGUUUUUUCACAUUUAUGCUACAAAGAUCUGUAAUGCCUUGAGGGUUACUGAAGUUUGUUGUUAAGUAUAUUCUGGAAGUUCUAUUGGAUUUGUUUCCGCUAAAUAAAUAUAAAUGUGCACCUAAUUCUGAUUUGGAUAUAAAUACAGGGGCGCACAAAGAGGCUACUAAUAUUAUAUGAGUAAACAUUUAAAAGGCAAUGUGAGGAUUUCUUUUCUGAGGCAUUUUCCGACAUUGUGCUUAUUGUAUUUUUCCAAUGGUUUAUUCUUUUGCUCCAUCAAUUUGUGAACCAAUUUUUCUUCUCAAUAUAGUUUGAUUAUUUAUUUGUUAGCUUCCCUGCAUGUCCUUCUCUCCCUUCGACCGGCCAUGUCAUCGCCCCAUGUCGCAAUUAAGAGCUUUCAGAGCCAUCAUGGUAUGCAAUUUUUUCCCUGCUAUUGGUAACUAAAAUUCUUAUUUUUACGAGAUGACAUCAAUAUUGACCAUUAAUGAGAAAAUUGGAGAUGAAUUCUAUGCUGCUGAGAGUAUCAUAGUAGCUGAUGCAAUUGCUACGUGAUAGCAUGGUGCACCAUUCUAUUUAAUAAGCUUGGUUUAGCAAAACUAUAUGGAGCUUUGUCUAGGAAAUUGUGGAUAAUUAGAGAAGUAAGGAAUCUUCUAUUUCCAGAAUUAAGUUACAGAUAUAGUUACAACAUGGAGCUUAUACUACCCUGGUGCGAAGAAGGUACCACAGUGGCCAUGUCUUGGAAAUCUCAGCAUAGCAAAUGAAAUUCUUCAUUUAAUCAUCCCGAGUUAGACAUAUUCACAGCAUAAAGCUUAUAUUACCAAUGGUUUAUAAGAAUUGCACACACAUCUAUACCUAGGAUAGCUUAUACUACCAAUGGUUUACUAUCAUUUUUAUAGUAUAGCUCGCCAAAUGAAAUCUAUCUUUAGAGGAAAAUUUAAUUGAGUACUUUUGAUUGUACAUGAAGAAUGACCUUUGAUGUAAGCUACAUGUUAUUUGAAUCAUGCAAUCAAACAAAUAAAUAUUAUCUAGGUUUGUUUAUGGACUGAAAGAUCUCAUGUGUGGGGAGCAGUAGAAAGAAGGGGUUUGCAGGAUUAGAGUGGGCCGUGCCAUUCUCCAUAUGGUUUCCCCUCACGACUAUCCUUUGGGCAACUAUUCAGGUAAUUAUCAUUUCUCAUGUGGUUCUCAGGUGAUUAAAGACAUAGGUUCUGGUGAGUUCGGCUCUGUUCUGGAGUUACUCAAUUUUUCAUCUUGCCUGGAGUUAAUUUCAUUUUGAUACAUUUGCUUUUUGGCUGAUGCAUCUGUUGAAUGUUAGUUGUCAAAUUUGUUCUUAACCGUUUCGUCUUUCAAAUGAUGAAGCCCAAGUACCUCUCGAAGGCCUAGCAAGUGGCCAUGUCCUUCACAUGUACAAUAUAUACAGGAACCUGAGUUGUUUUUCCUCCCAUUCAAGACGGAUGCCGUGAGUUGUUUCUUGAUAUUAAUUACAUGGGUUUUGGUUUAUCCGGUAAUAAGGCCCCACAAUGUGUUUGAUAUUUCUUGAUAUUAAUACUCUUCCCCAAACCCCAUAAUGUGUGGGAGCUUUCAACACAAGGUACGCUCUUCUUUCAAUAAUAAGAGAUGA